UGAUGGACGACUUGUCGCAGGUCUUGAUGACGAGCACAGCGACAUACAAGAGGAUG
rnacentral:rRNA from 13 species